rnacentral:rRNA from 1 species
UACGUAGGGGGCAAGCGUUGUCCGGAUUUAUUGGGCGUAAAGAGCGUGUAGGCGGCUAGGUAGGUCCGUUGUGAAAACUCGAGGCUCAACCUCGAGACGCCGGUGGAAACCAUCUAGCUAGAGUCCGGAAGAGGAGAGUGGAAUUCCUGGUGUAGCGGUGAAAUGCGUAGAGAUCGGGAAGAACAUCAGUGGCGAAGGCGGCCUGCUGGGCUGUUGCUGACGCUGAGGCGCGACAGCGUGGGGAGCAAACAGG